rnacentral:tRNA from 1 species
AAAUGUGGCUUAAUUAAAGCCUUUUGCUUACACCAAAAAAAUGUUUGUGCAACCCGAACCAUUUUGAG